ACGCUCGACACCUACGGGAGGCAGCAGUGGGGAAUAUUGCACAAUGGGGGAAACCCUGAUGCAGCGACGCCGCGUGAGCGAAGAAGUAUUUCGGUAUGUAAAGCUCUAUCAGCAGGGAAGAUCAUGACGGUACCUGACUAAGAAGCUCCGGCUAAAUACGUGCCAACAGCCGCGGUAAUCUGAGCGGGCUGGCAAGGC
rnacentral:rRNA from 1 species